UACGUAGGUGGCAAGCGUUGUCCGGAAUUACUGGGUGUAAAGGGAGCGCAGGCGGGAAGCCAAGUCAGCUGUGAAAACUACGGGCUUAACUUGCAGACUGCAGUUGAAACUGGUUUUCUUGAGUGAAGUAGAGGUUGGCGGAAUUCCGAGUGUAGCGGUGAAAUGCGUAGAUAUUCGGAGGAACACCGGUGGCGACGGCGGCCAACUGGGCUUUAACUGACGCUGAGGCUCGAAAGUGUGGGGAGCAAACAGG
rnacentral:rRNA from 1 species